rnacentral:tRNA from 1 species
GAGGGUAUGGCUCAGUGGUUAGAGCACAUACUUAGUAUUUAUGCAUGAGGUCCUGGGUUCAAUCCCCAGUGCCUCCA